rnacentral:rRNA from 1 species
UGGGGGAUUUUGGACAAUGGGGGAAACCCUGAUCCAGCGAUGCCGCGUGUGUGAAGAAGGCCUACGGGUUGUAAAGCACUUUAGGCGUGGACGAGAGACUACAUACGAAGAGUGUGUAGAGGAGACGGUACAUGCAGAAUAAGCACCGGCUAACUCUGUGCCAGCAGCCGCGGUAAGACAGAGGGUGCAAGCGUUAAUCGGAGUGAUUGGGCGUAAAGGGGGCGUAGGCGGUACGAGAAGUUAGAAGUGAAAUACCAUAGCUUAACUAUGGGAUUGCGGCUAAAACUGACGUACUAAGAGUAGAGGAGAGGGGAGUAGAAUUUCCAGUGUAGCGGUAAAAUGCGUAGAUAUUGGAAGGAAUAUCAGUGGCGAAAGCGACUCUCUGGACUCAAACUGACGCUGAGGCGCGAAAGCGUGGGGAGCGAACA